AAUAUUGGACAAUGGGCGAAAGCCUGAUCCAGCCAUGCCGCGUGUGUUAAGAAGGUAUUCGGAUUGUAAAGCACUUUAAGUUGGGAGAAAGGGCAGUAAGUUAAUACCUUGCUGUAUUGACGUUACCGUCAGAAUUAGCACCGGCUAACUUCGUGACAGCAGCCGCGGUAAUACGAAGUGUGCAAUCGUUAAGCGGAAUUACUGGGCGUAAAGCGCGCGUAGGUGGUUCGUUAAGUUUGAAGUGAAAGCCCCGGGCUUAACCUGGGAAUUGCUUUCAGAAAUGGCGAGCUAGAGUACGGUAGAGGGUAGUGGAAUUUCCUGUGUAGCGGUGAAAUGCGUAGAUAUAGGAAGGAACAUCAGUGGCGAAGGCGACUACCUGGACUGAUACUGACACUGAGGUGCGAAAGCGUGGGGAGCAAACAGG
rnacentral:rRNA from 1 species